rnacentral:pre_miRNA from 9 species
UCUCGAUAGCGUAAAAGGAACUCAAAUUUGUAUGGAGUUGGAACGUUUGCCUACGUUAGCCGCUAGGGGCGCUGUUCCAACUCCAUACAAAUUUGAUUUAACUUUUACGCUAUCGA